GACGAACGCUGGCGGCGCGCUUAACACAUGCAAGUCGUACGAUUAAAGCCCUCUUCGGAGGGUGUAUAAAGUGGCGAACGGGUGAGUAACACGUGGGUAAUCUACCUUUGAGACUGGAAUAACCUUGGGAAACCAGGGCUAAUGCCAGAUACUAUCACUUCACCUCCUGAUGAAGUGAUGAAAGCUCCGGCGCUCAGAGAUGAGCCCACGUCCCAUUAGCUUGUUGGUGAGGUAACGGCUCACCAAGGCCGCGAUGGGUAGCUGGUCUGAGAGGAUGAUCAGCCACAUUGGGACUGAGACACGGCCCAGACUCCUACGGGAGGCAGCAGUGGGGAAUCUUGCGCAAUGGGGGCAACCCUGACGCAGCGACGCCGCGUGGACGAUGAAGGUUUUCGGAUUGUAAAGUCCUUUUAGUGGGGAAGAAGCUUCGGUGACGGUACCCACAGAAGAAGCCCCGGCUAACUACGUGCCAGCAGCCGCCGCGG
rnacentral:rRNA from 1 species